UACGUAGGGUGCGAGCGUUGCCCGGAUUUAUUGGGCGUAAAGGGCGCGUAGGCGGCCACGCACGUCCGUUGUGAAAUCGCUCGGCUCAACUGGGCGGGGUCAGCGGAUACGGAGUGGCUGGAGCAAGCUAGGGGGCAAUGGAAUUCCCGGUGUAGUGGUGGAAUGCGUAGAUAUCGGGAGGAACACCUAUGGCGAAGGCAGCUCGCUGGGACGUUACUGACGCUGAGACGCGAAAGCGUGGGGAGCAAACAGG
rnacentral:rRNA from 1 species